rnacentral:rRNA from 1 species
CAGUGCGUGAACCGCUCAAGGUAAACGGGUGGAGUUGAACUGCAAGCUCCGGGAAUUCAACUGGUGAGUGUGAUGUGAGCUUGGCACAUAGUUGUACAUCUGGGUCUGCUUAGCUGCAGGUCUCCGCCUCUGGUGGGGAUGCGCGAAUCACUUAUCAUGUGUUGUGCGCCCGGGCUGUGUCGAACUGGCUCGCCUGUGCACUUUCUCGGAGUAGUCACCACGACCGGCGUUGCUGCCUUGCUGUUGCGGUUAAACCGGCCUUGUAGGGUCCCUGUGGCCUUGCUUGGUCGGGAUGGCAGGUAGCCCGUUGUGUACUUUUGUGCACCUCGGGUGUAAUAGCUGACUGCAUCGGUUUUGUGCGGUACGUCGGAGACGGCGGCUUGUUGUGCGUGCGUGCGUACCUUGUGCGCUGGCGGCGCUGGGUCCGGUUGCCAUGUUGCUUGUGAAUGCAGGCCUGGCGAUGGCUCGGUGUUGUUCGGUGUGCGGAUGCGUGUGUGGCACUUUGAAGGGCCAAUAGUCUGUGGUGUAGUGGUAGACUAUCCACCUGACCCGUCUUGAAACACGGACCAAGGAGAGUAACAUGUGCGCGAGUCAUUGGGCGUUACGAAACCCAAAGGCGAAGUGAAAGUAAAGGUUCGGCUUGUCCGGACUGAGGUGAGAUCCUGUCGUUUCUCACGCGCGGUACCACCAAGCAUCGAGCGGCAGGCGCAUCACCGGCCCGUCCCAUGGCGUAGAAGCAGCCUCGUGCUAGCUCACCGCCGGGGCGGAGCAUGAGCGUACAUGUUGAGACCCGAAAGAUGGUGAACUAUGCUUGCGCAGGUUGAAGCCAGAGGAAACUCUGGUGGAGGACCGCAGCGAUUCUGACGUGCAAAUCGAUCGUCAAACGUGAGUAUAGGGGCGAAAGACUAAUCGAACAUCUAGUAACUGGUCCUCCAAUCU